rnacentral:lncRNA from 1 species
AAAGUCUUUCUUUCUAGUUGAAGUAAUAUUUGAAGUUUGAUUCUACAAGUUUGUGAGAUCGAAUUGCUUCUAAUCUUUCUUUGCUCUUUAGUAUUAAUUUGCUUGUCUUCUAGUUUAAUUACAAUUGUUUAGGUUUGUUAAAUAUGUACCCAAUAUUUGAUAGCUUAGAAUAAUUGUGUUAUCAAUUAGAUAAUUAGUCAUUCAAUUAAUUUAUAAUAUUUGUGACAACUACAUGAUUAUUUGUGUAGUGUGGACAUGUGAUCUAACUUAAAUAAACCUUGAUUGUGC